rnacentral:lncRNA from 1 species
GAAGAUUAGAAAAGCAGUAAUGAUUGAUGCUGCAAGGCUGUUCCUGAUUCGAUCUGCUUGCAUCUCUUCUAACUUGUGAGUGACUUGGAAGGAGCAGACUUCAUCUUACUUCUAUUCAUUUCUCAAUUAACUAUGACUAACAUACACUAGGCACCCAAAAAGUUAAGAUGAUAGCAGUAAUGAAGAGAAAUGGACCUUGAGUUUCAGAAACUUGUAUUCUAAUGGACCUUCAAAAGAUGGCAAGUAUUGUGUCUGGAAUUGG